rnacentral:rRNA from 1 species
UUAUUCAUUUAUGAAGAGUUUGAUCCUGGCUCAGAACGAACGCUGGCGGCGGGGUUUAGGCA